GGUUAAGCGACUAAGCGUACACGGUGGAUGCCCUGGCAGUCAGAGGCGAUGAAGGGCGUGCUAAUCUGCGAUAAGCGCCGGUAAGGUGAUAUGAACCGUUAUAACCGGCGAUACCCGAAUGGGGAAACCCAGUGUGAUUCGUCACACUAUCAUUAACUGAAUCCAUAGGUUAAUGAGGCGAACCGGGGGAACUGAAACAUCUAAGUACCCCGAGGAAAAGAAAUCAACCGAGAUUCCCCCAGUAGCGGCGAGCGAACGGGGAGGAGCCCAGAG
rnacentral:rRNA from 1 species